rnacentral:rRNA from 1 species
UGCGUAGGCGGUUUGUUAAGUCCGCUGUGAAAGCCCUGGGCUCAACCUGGGAAUUGCAGUGGAUACUGGCAAGCUAGAGUGCGGUAGAGGAUGGUGGAAUUCCCGGUGUAGCGGUGAAAUGCGUAGAGAUCGGGAGGAACACCCGUGGCGAAGGCGGCCAUCUGGACCAGCACUGACGCUGAGGCACGAAAGCGUGGGGAGCAAACA